UUAGCAGGUCUCCUUAUCGAUUUGGCUUUAAACGUCAGAUAGGAAAGUCCGGACACCAUAGUGCAGUAUAGCGGGUAACGCCCGUCACCUGAUAGUUACUGUCAGGGAGGACAAGUGCAGCAGAAAGUAUGUACAGGUAAGGCUGUAGUGAAACCAGGUAAACUCUAUACGGUGAAACGUCAUGUAAAUCAGUGUUCGAGGGCGGCACGUCCGAGCUGAAGGGUAGGCGGUUAGAGCCUUUGGGCAACCAAAGGUCCAGAUAAAUGAUAAGGGCAUUCUGAAUUUUUCAGGAUGAACAGAAUCCGGCUUAUGACCUGCUUUUUUA
rnacentral:RNase_P_RNA from 1 species